ACCACUCAAGUAGCUUAAA
rnacentral:tRNA from 1 species